UACAGAGGUCCCAAGCGUUGUUCGGAUUCACUGGGCGUAAAGGGUGCGUAGGCGGUCGGGUAAGUCUGAUGUGAAAUCUCAUAGCUUAACUGUGAAACUGCAUUGGAUACUAUCCGGCUCGAGGAAUGGAGGGGAGACUGGAAUACUUGGUGUAGCAGUGAAAUGCGUAGAUAUCAAGUGGAACACCAGUGGCGAAGGCGAGUCUCUGGACAUUUCCUGACGCUGAGGCACGAAAGCCAGGGGAGCAAACAGG
rnacentral:rRNA from 1 species